rnacentral:rRNA from 1 species
GUUAAGCGACUAAGCGUACACGGUGGAUGCCCUGGCAGUCAGAGGCGAUGAAGGACGUGCUAAUCUGCGAUAAGCGUCGGUAAGGUGAUAUGAACCGUUAUAACCGGCGAUUUCCGAAUGGGGAAACCCAGUGUGAUUCGUCACACUAUCAUUAACUGAAUCCAUAGGUUAAUGAGGCGAACCGGGGGAACUGAAACAUCUAAGUACCCCGAGGAAAAGAAAUCAACCGAGAUUCCCCCAGUAGCGGCGAGCGAACGGGGAGCAGCCCAGAGCCUGAAUCAGUGUGUGUGUUAGUGGAAGCGUCUGGAAAGGCGCGCGAUACAGGGUGACAGCCCCGUACACAAAAAUGCACAUGCUGUGAGCUCGAUGAGUAGGGCGGGACACGUGGUAUCCUGUCUGAAUAUGGGGGGACCAUCCUCCAAGGCUAAAUACUCCUGACUGACCGAUAGUGAACCAGUACCGUGAGGGAAAGGCGAAAAGAACCCCGGCGAGGGGAGUGAAAAAGAACCUGAAACCGUGUACGUACAAGCAGUGGGAGCACGCUUAGGCGUGUGACUGCGUACCUUUUGUAUAAUGGGUCAGCGACUUAUAUUCUGUAGCAAGGUUAACCGAAUAGGGGAGCCGAAGGGAAACCGAGUCUUAACUGGGCGUUAAGUUGCAGGGUAUAGACCCGAAACCCGGUGAUCUAGCCAUGGGCAGGUUGAAGGUUGGGUAACACUAAC